ACCCAGGUGAUGAGUUUGAAAUAGGACGAAACGUGCGUCCAGGAU
rnacentral:hammerhead_ribozyme from 1 species